rnacentral:rRNA from 1 species
CCAGGUUGAUCCUGCCAGUAGCAUAUGCUUGUCUCAAAGAUUAAGCCAUGCAUGUCUAAGUACAAGCCGCUAGACGGCGAAACCGCGAAUGGCUCAAUAAAUCAGUUAUGGUUCCUUAGAUCCACUCCAUCCUACUUGGAAUAACUGUGGUAAUUCUAGAGCUAAUACAGGAACUCGAGCCUCGACUGCGCCCUCUGGAUGACUUCACACCAUUCGCAUGGCCUUCGAGCCGGCGACGUAUCUUUCAAAUGUCUGCCUCAUCAACUGUCGAUGGUAGGUUACCCGCCUACCAUGGUUGCUACGGGUAACGGGGAAUCGGGGUCCGAUUCCGGAGAGGGAGCCUGAGAAACGGCUACCGCAUCCCAGGAAGGCAGCAGGCGCGUAAAUUACCCACUCCCGGCACGGGGAGGUAGUGACGAAAAAUAACGAUACGGGACUCUUCCGAGGACCCGUGAUUGGAAUGAGUACACUUUAAAUCCUUUAACGAUUAAACCAUUGGAGGGCAAGUCUGGUGCCAGCAGCCGCGGUAACUCCAGCUCCAAUAGCGUAUAUUAAAGUUGUUGCGGUAAAAAACUCGUAGUCGGAUGUCUGUCUUCGGCCGGGCGGAGCCGCUCUGAAUCAAGGGUGUUGCGUUUCACGCUCUGGGAGCCCGGGUGUCAAAGCCCGACUCUCAUCACGGUCGGACAACAUCGCCGGAGUGGUGGCCGGUGGCUCGCGUUGCCGCGUUGUAUCGGUUCGCGGGGCGUUUGGUUUUCUUCCUCUUCGGGGUCCGCCCCGUCGAGGGGGGGGGUGAUCGCUCGCGUUCAGUUGACGCGGUUCGCUCACCCAGUCAAUCGUUCGGGGAGCCCUUCACCGGGGGUCUCGGGCGGCCGGCAAUGUGGACUUUGAACAAAUUAGAGUGCUCAAAGCAGGUGUAUCCCAACGCCUGAAUAUCGCAGCAUGGAAUGAUGGAAUAGGACCUCGGUCCGAUUUUGCUGGUCUUUUCUUUUGGACCCGAGGUAAUGGUCAAUAGAGACGGACGGGGGCGCAUUCGUACUCGGCGACAGAGGUGAAAUUCUUGGACCGCCGCAAGACGAACAACAGCGAAGGCAUUUGCCAAGAAUGUUUUCCUUGAUCAAGAACGAAGGUUAGAGGU